CCCCCCCCCCACCUGGACCCGGGAUUGCGUGACCCCUGAGUCCACGAGGGCAUGGGAAGAGAGGGCCCCCGUGGCCGAGACACCCUGCCCUUCCUCCGGGGUUCCCAGACGCCCUGACACAGGCUCCCCCGGAGGAAAAGGAAGAGCUUCAGCCGGGGGCAGCCUUGUGGGCCAGCUGCUGGGGUGGGGGGACUUCUUCCCCGCCCUCUUCCUUCCAGGUAACCCGAGAGGCCGCUGGAACAUUCCGGGCACAGGAAAUGAAAAUGGGCACAUGGCGGGAAGCAGGCAGGGACGUCACACCCAUAGGUGAGCAGACAUUGAGGCCCUCUUGUCCCAAGUGCUGACCCUGGAGCCCCCCCUCCCCCCAGGGCACCUCCCCCAGCACCUGUGGACCAGGGAACCGGGCGAGAGUCAGGAGGCAUCCUCGCGCUCGCUGCCUCCCGUGUGGACCCAAAUCAAGCUCGUUCUCCUUCCGAAUCCCCCUCAAAGCCACCCACUGCUCUCCCUCCCCUGCCUGGGCUAGGCCACCGCCCUCCGGCCCAGAUAACAGCAGGGCCCUUAACCAGCCUUCCGACCUCCAGGAGCGCAGCCCGUUUCCAUUCUCUCCCCGCCCAGCCAGAGAGAUCUUCCAGAAACAAAGCCCAGUCCUUGCCACCCCCCACCCCCCACCCCAUACAGCCUCCCAUGGCUCCUCAUGGAGCGAAACCUAAAGUUCUUUCUAAACCCAGGUCUUGGAACCCAAUCCGCACCGGCCUCCAUCUCGGGCUUCCUUAUUAGGGCCCCUCCCCACCCCCACCCGCGCCCCGCCCAUUGGCUCUCCUUGCCCCAGACACGUGGAAUCGCUUCCGGUCUCCCCUGCAGCCCAGGGCUUGCCACUGGGUGCCCCGGCCUCACCCAUCUUGCGGGCGUCUGCUGAGCCUCACUUCCUGGAAACCCUCCUGGACUCUAAGUCCAAGGUCACCCGGGCUCCCCCCAGGGAGCACAGGCCACACUGCUUCCUACGUACGAGUUUGUCUGCCUCCCAAGAGACCCGAGCUCUGCAAUGGCUUCCCACGCCUGCCACGGUGCGUGGUCCCAAACAGAUGCGCCGCAGAGAGCAGGUGAUGUCAGGAGCCUUGGAUGACCCUGGUGUCGGGGUGCUCACUACCUCUCACUGGUGAUUAUCCUGAUCAUUAGAAGGCAGCAUUUGGCUCCAUCCAUCUCCAGCCUCUGUGUGCCCCCACCCAGCAGCUGAGAAUGACCCCCUUUCCCACGCCAGGCAAGUCCCCAGAGGGAGCUUUGGCUGGAAGAAGAAGCUACCAGACUGGGGGCCAAGAGAUGGGAGACGCUGGUGAAGGACAACAGUGGCUCAGUGUUUUCCAGGAAGGCUGGAGUGCACGAAGAAUGCAAAGCUUCCUCAGCUGCAAAAUGGGACCAAUGGAACCCAUUUGCCUGGACGGCCGUGAAGGUUUCAUGAGAGAAAUAAGCUGUUUGGGAAGUUCUCAGAGAGCGGUGACCCCUCCCUUAUGAUUAACCAGCCCCGGGAGCUGCUUCAGGAUGCAUCUUGACAAUUGGAAAUAUGGAAAGACACAAGGCUGUGCUGCUGUGGGCAUCUCGUUAUGAGAACGUUGGUUUCUUGGGUUGUAUUAAGAUGUGGUUUUCCUGUUCAAGCCUCUGAAAUCCCCUGUGGGUUUUCUGGGGGUUCAGCAGCAGGGGAAGAGGUAGGUCCCCAACAAGGAGUGGGCAGAAGAAGGAGGUCCGGCCUCCUGCACUUUGGUUGCUGCCUGAACUUGGGAAACCAGUCCCGGGUCCUUGGGGUUGCCACAAAGGGUCCCUACGCCGGACUCCCACCAUUAGUGAAUAAAAACAUAAGAGGUGCAGUUGUCUGUGUUUUCUCUGGCCAUCCUGAGUCUCCGGGUGAGCUAAGGACCUUUUCCUGACAGAAUAGAUACUAUCUCCUCCCUGCGUGUAGGUCUGUUUUGGCAAGGUGGGUAGGUGCUCUUUUGCUUUAAAAAUACAAACCGAUUGGGGGCCCCUGGGUGGCUCAGCCGGUGAAGCAUCCGACUUCGGCUCAGGUCAUGAUCUCACGGUUCGUGGGUUCGAGCCCCGUGUCGGGCUCUGUGCCGACGGCUCGGAGCCUGGAGCCUGCUUCGGAUUCUGUAUCUCCCUCCCUCUCUGCCCCUCCCCUGCUCACGCUCCGUCUCUAUCUC